CGGACGGGUGAGUAACGCGUGGAUAACCUGCCUCACACUGGGGGAUAACAGUUAGAAAUGGCUGCUAAUACCGCAUAAGCGCACAGUACCGCAUGGUACGGUGUGAAAAACCCAGGUGGUGUGAGAUGGAUCCGCGUCUGAUUAGCCAGUUGGCGGGGUAACGGCCCGACCAAAGCGACGAUCAGUAGCCGACCUGAGAGGGUGACCGGCCACAUUGGGACUGAGACACGGCCCAA
rnacentral:rRNA from 1 species